UACAAAAUGGACAGGCUUAAAGGCUGAACUUGCCUGAAGGGCAAUGGAUUUUAAGAACAUUUCUACCCAUUUCUUAAGUUUGGCUCCAAACCAUUUGUCUUUGUAAUACUGGAAGCAGCAACGCCGAAGAACCAAGAACGCUGUGGCUGAACAAAAAAAAAGAUCAGGCUAAACAGCAAAAUGAAUGCAUCUUUCAUCUAGCCCUCCACAACCGCAGUCAGCACUGCGAACCUGGGAACAGGAGAAUUUUCUGACUUGAAAGCCCUGGUCUUAGCAGGUUGCAUAUACUUAGCAUCUAAGAAUUCAAGCAUGAAGACUUUAUUUCUGAGCUCUAAAGAAAUAUAUUGCUAUGCUGAGGCACGUCUAAUAUUUCAACAAAGCCACACUUGUGGAAAAACAUAUUCGGAAAGG